GGUUGGAAGUGGUGUCCCUGAGGCACCUGCUCGCCCUUUUCCUGCGCCUCCGCAACGUCGGCUGCGAAUGAGUCUCCUAAAGGACGCCCGGGAGGAUCGGAAACAGCCGAGUCCCGGCGCGGGCAGUGUCCUGCGCUCCUCCCCGGGGUCUGGCCGGGGUGGGCCCGAGGCCCCCGGGCCCCCGGUUACCGCCGCGGGCGCGUCUGCGUCCUGACCCGGAGGGACCCGCGGGCCGGGCCGUACCAGGUGGCGCUGGGGUUAGGGUUGCCGCCACGGAAGCCCAGCUCUGUGGACGCCUGCAGGGCGCCCUCACCGCCCGGGACGGGGGACCCAGCCCAGCCGCAGGGGAAGGACUGGGGCUCGCGGGGACGGAGGGCGGUUAGGAUUGCUGGAUACAACACGGAACGCCCAAUUAACGUUUUUGUUUAACGUGUUUUUUGUAGAGAUGGGGUCUCGCUAUGUUGCCCAGGCUGGUCUUGAACUCCUGGCCUCAAGCGAUCCUCCCGCCUCGGCCUCCAGAGUAGCUGGGACUAGAGGCCUGAGACAGCACGCCCGGCUCAGUUAAGAUUUUAAAACAGAUUUGUUGAAAUAUAAUGCACUUACUGUGAAAUUCACUUAUUGAAAGCUUAUGGCUUUGCCGUAUAUUCGGAGAUGGGCGGCCAUGCUCACUAUCUCAUGUGACACCGUUUCUGUUGCCCCAGAAAGAAACCCCGUGCCCAUGAGCGUUCACUCCCCACCCUGCCCACGGCCCAGCAAAUCUGCUUCAGCCCCUAUAGAUUUACCUCUACCGCGUUGGGCAUGUACUAAAAAUUGUUUAUCUGAAGUACAGAUUUAUCGGCAUCCCAUAUUUUUAUUUGCUAAUUCUGGCCAUCCUAAAGGUGGCAUCGCUCGCUCUGACCAAGGAAGCCUCAAGCAGGCAGGCACGAGAGUCCAUCCCUAGCCCUGCCUGGCCCCUCAGAGCCCAUCCCUGGCCCUGCCUGGCUCCUCAGAGCUGUCCCUGGCAGGCUCCGGGCUCAGGUGCGCUGCCAGGAGGGGGGCAGUGAGGGCUGUUUUAGGUAUAACAAUCCUGGAUAUUUCCUGAGUAUCUUGUCCGAAUGGUUCCUCUUUCUGUAUUUUCUAGCUUCCUCUGUAUAUUUAAAAAUGGUCUUAUUGGUGUGUUUCUUCACGACAUUUCAAUUUUUUGUUAUCAUUUCCCACAAUUUCAGUGAUGCAAGAUGGUCCUUUCUGAGCAGAGCUCCCCUCGCUCAGUGCUCCUUUGUUUCACGUAGAAGAUCUUCUUGAGGGGACUGUGUGGCCAGUGCAGCCCAGGCCUCCCCACCCUGCACCGUUCAACAGAAGAGCAGCUGACGCAGGGGGCCCUCAACAUGCUCACCCAAAAGUCAGCGAGAUUCUGCACCGGCCCACUAGCCUUCCAAUUGUAAACUAAAAAUAAAAUCUUGGCCAGGCA
rnacentral:lncRNA from 1 species